AAGCGUUGUUCGGAUUUACUGGGCGUAAAGGGCGCGUAGGCGGCCAGCGCAAGUCAGUUGUGAAAUCUCCGGGCUUAACUCGGAAAGGUCAACUGAUACUGCGCGGCUAGAGUGCAGAAGGGGCAACUGGAAUUCCUGGUGUAGCGGUGAAAUGCGCAGAUAUCAGGAAGAACACCCGUGGCGAAGGCGGUUCUCUGGGACGGUACUGACGCUGAGACGCGAAAGCGUGGGGAGCAAACAGG
rnacentral:rRNA from 1 species